rnacentral:rRNA from 1 species
GAUGAACGCUGGCGGCGUGCCUAAUACAUGCAAGUCGAGCGAACAGACGAGGAGCUUGCUCCUCUGACGUUAGCGGCGGACGGGUGAGUAACACGUGGAUAACCUACCUAUAAGACUGGGAUAACUUCGGGAAACCGGAGCUAAUACCGGAUAAUAUAUUGAACCGCAGGGUUCAAUAGUGAAAGACGGUUUUGCUGUCACUUAUAGAUGGAUCCGCGCCGCAUUAGCUAGUUGGUAAGGUAACAGCUUACCAAGGCAACGAUGCGUAGCCGACCUGAGAGGGUGAUCGGCCACACUGGAACUGAGACACGGUCCAGACUCCUACGGGGGGCAGCAGUAGGGAAUCUUCCGCAAUGGGCGAAAGCCUGACGGAGCAACGCCGCGUGAGUGAUGAAGGUCUUCGGAUCGUAAAACUCUGUUAUUAGGGAAGAACAAAUGUGUAAGUAACUAUGCACGUCUUGACGGUACCUAAUCAGAAAGCCACGGCUAACUACGUG